rnacentral:lncRNA from 1 species
UGGUUCCUAGAGAAUCACAUUUCCAGAAAACAUGCCCCAAGACCUAAUACAUUUCUCAAAUACAUCAAUGUAUGGUUAUCUCCAGAACCUAUUUUUCCAUCUCCUCUUCUCAUUAGAUUUUGGGACAAAAACAAGUAAAAGUGGACGAUUCAUGAUAAAAAUUCAUUGAAUAAACACUUUAAUCACCCAACUUUUAGGAAAAGUUUGCUAAUUUAAAAAAAUGGGGAAGGGGAAAUUAUUAUUCGCCAAUGUUUUAAAAAUUGGAAAGGGUCUGAAAAAUCAUAACUCGAGGAUUGUAGCGCAGAUCGUAAAAUCCUACUAAUAGGGAAAAAUAUACUCAUAUACACAUGCAUAAAAAUUAUUAUAUAUUGAGAAAAUAACCUCUAAAUCACAACAUUAAAAACUAAGGUGAUAAACAUAAAAAAUAAAAAAUAAAAAAAAAAAGACAAGUAAAGAAAAUAAUCUAUCAAUAAUAAUAUUAGACUAAAUUUAUAAAUAAUAAAAUUAAAAAGAGAUUGUGGUACAGUUAAUAAAAUAAAGUUUAACUAUGGGUUGAAAGUCGAAACCACAAAUCUCCUUCACAAAAAACAAAAAGAGGGGAAUUGGCCUGUCUGGUUCAGUCAGAUGACCCAAAUUAUACUGGUUGUUGACUUGAGAUUGAGAGAGGAACACACUAAAAAGUUCAGCGAGGAAACAAGGUGAAGAUGCAACACGUGAAACAGAGGAUCAAAGGGAAC